UUACUAUUUAAUAAAUUAUCUAAUCACAAACCAGGCGUGAUCGUUGACACUAUAACUUUUUAGUUUUUAAUUUUUUGUUUAAGUUUGUUUUAUAACAAUAAUAUUUUACCUACCUUUUAAAAAAAUAAAAUAUUUUAAAAGAUGCAAAAUGACAUUUGUAUUACUUUAUAUAUAUCUAAGUUGAAUGUUGAAAUAGUAUAUAUCAUGGUCUAAUAUAAAAAGACAAUAAAAAAUAUAAAUUAUAAGCCAUUAAACUAAAAAUAAAAGGCCUUAAUUUACAUAUUAAAAAAAAUAAAGAAUAAAUUUUAUCUAAUAGAAAAAUGUAUUUUUAUAAUUUUAAUAAUUAUUUACCCUUCUUUUACCUCUUUCCAAACAUAAAGAAUAUACAUUAACUCUCCUUAUAUUUUCAUUAAUUCACCAAACAUGAUUACAAACGUAAGAAUAUUUUUUUAUUGUAACACUUCUUACCCUUCUCUCUCCUUAACCUCCCCUACCUUACGUUCUCCUUAAUUACCCUUCCCUCACCCCUUCCAAACAUAGGGUAAAUACCAGGCGAGGGUCGUCUCAGUCCCUCAUUAAUCAAUCUCUUUUUACUAGAAAUAAACUGCCAUCAAAAUUUAAUUACAUUUGUUAAUAGGAUUUGAUGUUUAUCCACAGGCCUAGUAACAUCAGAAAAUGCAUGAAGCAAGAAUUUGAUAUUGUUAAACUAUUCAGAUGCAAAUGGAAGACAUUUGUUUGAAGUUUCGAGUUCCAGGUGUAUCUUUAAAAACAGAAGUUCCAGGUGUAACUCACAAAACGCCAAGUGACUAAGCAGAGACAUGUUAAUCAAGCCUCCAAGCUGAAAACGUAAUCAAAUCAUUUCAAUACGUUACAUUGGAGACUCCCACUCCACAACACAAUGAAGAAGCCUAAAAUUAUCAUUGCCUGGAAACACCAGACUCUGUUCUCAAGAAAACCGUACCAAAAUUGCUCCCAAAAAAAUUGAAAAAAAUCAGUAAGUUGAACACUAAUGCAAAAUAAAUAGUAAAAACAUACCUAAAAAAUUGCCAAGGAGACUCCAGUCCGGCAGGUACCUCCAGGAGGCCAUCUUUGGCGUAAAUGCAUCUGAAAACAGGCCCUGCUGAUGGUUUUCUAUCAGUUGCAGGCCUUGAUUCUUCAACCUUGACUAUGUAAUCCAUAGACAUUGCGAUUUCAAGAACUGGGUCUCAAAAAAUUUCACAAGAAGUAUUGAUUUUUGUGAUAAGAUUUGUUCUUGAAUUUAACGACAGUACGUGUUCAUAAGAAAGAGAGAGAGAGAGAGAGAAAGAAAGAGAGGGAGCAGAAAGAAACGAGAAGAUAUGGAACACAAAGUACUUUUGAUUGCAAGAAAGACUAGCCAAAAAAGGAAGAAAGCAUUAAAGAAUGAUUGUCGAAAAAGGUUUGGAAAUCUUCCAUGCCUCUACACAUGAAAUUCACAUGGCACCAUCUCCUAUCCCUAUGUCAUGAUGAAACUCUCAGCUCUGGAAAUGGGUUGGCAACAACAAAAGCAG
rnacentral:misc_RNA from 1 species